rnacentral:snRNA from 1 species
UUGGUUACCUGGCGAGGGUGAUACCAAGAUCACAAAGGGGGGCUCAGCCUUUGCACUGCAGCUAUGCUGACCUCUGCGAAUUCCCCAAAUGUGGGAAUCUCGACUGCAUAACGUCUGGUAAUGGGAGGCUGCGUUCCCGUGCUCCCCCU